rnacentral:rRNA from 1 species
GUGGGGAAUAUUGGGCAAUGGGCGCAAGCCUGACCCAGCAACGCCGCGUGAAGGAAGAAGGCUUUCGGGUUGUAAACUUCUUUUACCAGGGACGAAAAAAAUGACGGUACCUGGAGAAUAAGCCACGGCUAACUACGUGCCAGCAGCCGCGGUAAUACGUAGGUGGCAAGCGUUGUCCGGAUUUACUGGGUGUAAAGGGCGCGUAGGCGGGAGAGCAAGUCAGGAGUGAAAUCUAUGGGCUUAACCCAUAAAUUGCUUUUGAAACUGUUUUUCUUGAGUGAUGGAGAGGCAAGCGGAAUUCCUAGUGUAGCGGUGAAAUGCGUAGAUAUUAGGAGGAACACCAGUGGCGAAGGCGGCUUGCUGGACAUUAACUGACGCUGAUGCGCGAAAGCGUGGGGAGCAAACAGGAUUAGAAACCCGUGUAGUCC